CUAGUUGGUGAGGUAACGGCUCACCAAGGCGACGAUGCGUAGCCGACCUGAGAGGGUGAUCGGCCACAUUGGAACUGAGAUACGGUCCAAACUCCUACGGGAGGCAGCAGUGGGGAAUAUUGCACAAUGGGCGAAAGCCUGAUGCAGCAACGCCGCGUGAGUGAUGAAGGCCUUCGGGUUGUAAAGCUCUGUCUUUGGGGACGAUAAUGACGGUACCCAAGGAGGAAGCCACGGCUAACUACGUGCCAGCAGCCGCGGUAAUACGUAGGUGGCAAGCGUUGUCCGGAUUUACUGGGCGUAAAGGAUGCGUAGGUGGAUAUUUAAGUCAGAUGUGAAAUACCCGAGCUCAACUUGGGUGCUGCAUUUGAAACUGGAUAUCUAGAGUGCAGGAGAGGUAAGUGGAAUUCCUAGUGUAGCGGUGAAAUGCGUAGAGAUUAGGAAGAACACCAGUGGCGAAGGCGACUUACUGGACUGUAACUGACACUGAGGCAUGAAAGCGUGGGGAGCAAACAGGAUUAGAUACCCUGGUAGUCCACGCCGUAAACGAUGAGUACUAGGUGUAGGAGGUAUCGACUCCUUCUGUGCCGCAGUUAACACAAUAAGUACUCCGCCUGGGAAGUACGGUCGCAAGAUUAAAACUCAAAGGAAUUGACG
rnacentral:rRNA from 1 species